AAACUGGAUUUGUUGAACAUUUUGAAAUAAUGAGGAAUUUUAAAAAAGGCUUAAAUUGAAAUAAUAUAGCUAAAAAGGUUUAAAAAGCUCGACUCGAGCAAAGGUAAUAAUCCAAAAUAUGAGGGGCUUGGAGGUGUUUAACACAAUCGUAAAGCCAUAAAGUGUGUUUAAAGAUAAAUUGUUAUACACAAUUUAAAAUCUUUUUGGACGAAUCAAGCAGCAAGAAGAAGAAGCAAAUGAUAAGGUUCAUUGAGGGAUGCAAGAUUAUCACCAUCAUCACCAUCGACAUAUCAUCAUGGAACAACAUCAACACCAAUCUGAUCAUCUUUUACAACAUCAGUAAACAGUCAACGUGAGAAAGAUGAUAAACACGUGCUAAACAAGUUAAUCACGAUUGAGAUGAUUUUUGGUGUUUUCGCUUCUUCUGUCAACUAUUGAUAAUUAUAAAAGAUGACAUCUUAUAAGGCCACAUAGUCAAAAAGAUCAUUAUAUGAACAUGACGAUCAACAUUUCUUUUCAUCAUAAUCAACAAUUGAAUGGUUAAUUGAGUUAUUUCUUGCACUAAUAAAAUGCUUAUUCAAGCUUGCUUGUUAGAUUUUUAUAUAAUUUUAUUGUUAAACCCAUUAGGCACUUUUAUUUCCCAGUAAAAUCAAGAUUUAACGAAGGAAACAGAAUGGAAACCUAAAUUCAUCUCAAUUGUACCAUCAACAAUUAGGAUUGAUAUCAUUGCAUUUUUCAACAUUGAAUGCACCAUCAGCCCGAUUAAAGUUAAAAAUUAUGAUCAAAACAUGAGAAUUGGAUUGGGAUCAAUAGAUUUUUGAUAAGCAAAGAAACCUUUUUUUGUUGGAUCAUCUUGUUUGUCAUGUUAAUCGUCGCAAUAAGUCUGAUAACCCCGUCGAGGUCACAAUAUAUCAAUCACUUUGUGUUGCCAAAAACUGGAUUAUAUCAAAUCCGUCUCAAUGGACAUAAUUUAUAAAUGUUAAACAAUCAAAUCUUAAAGCGUCGAUCAACUGGACAAGCUCAAGUUGCUGGAAAUGAAAAAUGCAAACAUCCACAAUUUUCAAAUGAUAUAAUAUAAAGGAUUAUUUUAGGAAACCAAAGGUUAAUUAAUUUCGGAUGGCAUUAAUAUACAAACGAAAGCCUCAUUUCGGAUCUCAAGUGUAACCAACAAUCUGUACAAUUUGAUGGUCAGAGCAAAAAGUAAUAAUAAUUUGUUUUUAAUCACAAUUCCAGAAAGUAUAAUGUAUUUAUAAAUUUAGUGUACAUGUAAAACAUGGUAAAAUGUUUACUAAUAAUCAGAGUUGAGUGAUUUUGUGCCUUCUCAUAUCUUCAACAACAAUUAAAGGUUCGUUAACCAGUUUUUUUGCCAAAAAAAGGAAAGCAAAGAUUGAGUCAAUAAUAAUUUUCCCAUCACUUUAACAUAACUAAUUCAGCUGACCAUCGCAAUAUGAUUAUACAAAUGAAAGUAAUCCAGUUUAAUUAAUGUUUUUGACUAACAACCAGAAACACAAAUUCAGAUGAGAUUGACCAACCAUUUAAAAUGAAUGUAACUUCAUCAUUUUGUUUACAACCUGAAUUUUUAGUCAUUGAAUAUGAUCUUAACCAUUAAACAUCUUCAUAAUAUUGUCAAUAAUAACCUGCCAAAUGAGUUUUGGGACUAAAUAUAAAAUAAAUUAAUUACCAAAUAACCAAAUCGAAAUGCAAAUAUAAGGUAAAUUUUUAGGCCUUGAAGAUUGAUCUAAAAGCUGAUCUUAAGUAUCAGUCUCUAAACAUGCAAAUGAUUACAAUUCAAGAUAAUUUCAAU